rnacentral:rRNA from 1 species
UACGUAGGGUCCGAGCGUUGUCCGGAUUCAUUGGGCGUAAAGAGCUCGUAGGCGGUUCCAUAAGUCAGAUGUGAAACUCAGGGCUCAACCCGGAGACGCCAUCUGAUACUGCGGUGACUGGAGUCUGGUAGGGGAGCGACGGAAUACCUGGUGUAAGCGGUGAAAUGCGCAGAUAAUCGAGGUGGAACACCGGUGGCGAAGGCGGUGCUCUGGCCAGUACUGACGCUGAGGAGCGAAAGCGUGGGAGCAAACAGG